UCAGCGAGUGAAGGGCGUGGAAAGCCCGC
rnacentral:sRNA from 1 species